GACGAACCGUGCGAACGUUAUUCGGAAUCACUGGGCUUAAAGCGCGUGUAGGCGGGCCGGCGCGUCGGCCGCUGAAAUCCCCCGGCUCAACCGGGGAAGCGGCGCCGAUACGGCCGGCCUGGAGGGACGUAGGGGGGGGCUGGAACUCCGGUGGAGCGGUGAAAUGCGUUGAGAUCGGAAGGAACGCCCGUGGCGAAAGCGAGCCCCUGGACGUCUACUGACGCUGAGACGCGAAAGCCAGGGGACGCGAACGGG
rnacentral:rRNA from 1 species